UUAGUACUCCCUCCGUCCGAAAAUAUUUGUCAUCAAAAUGGACAAAAAAAAUGUAUCUAAAACUAAAUUAUGUCUAGAUACAUUUCCUUUUAUUCAUUUUGAUGACAAGUAUUUCCGAACGGAGGGAGUAGAUG
rfam:Triticum aestivum genome assembly, contig: Triticum_aestivum_CS42_TGACv1_scaffold_374482_5AL